UUCCCAAAUCCGCCGGUCUUCUCCGCUGCGGCAAGAGCUGCCGUCUCCGAUGGAUCAACUACCUCCGCCCUGACCUCAAACGUGGCAAUUUCACCCCUCAAGAAGAUGAACUCAUCAUCAAACUCCACAGUCUCCUGGGCAACAAGUAAGCAACCUUAGCUUAGCUCAAACAAUUAAAUCAAUCACAACGAUUAUUAUUUUAUUCACUUUUUGACAUGGGCAUGUGGGUAUAUAGAUGGUCUUUAAUUGCUGGAAGAUUGGCUGGAAGAACAGACAAUGAGAUAAAGAAUUACUGGAACACUCAUAUAAGAAGGAAGCUUUUGAGCAGAGGAAUUGACCCUGCUACUCACAGGCCUCUUAAUCAAGAACAAUCUGAAUUAGCACCAGCUGCCACCACAACCACUAUUUCUUUCAAACAAGAUGAAGAUCAUGAAGAUAACAA
rnacentral:lncRNA from 1 species